CAUGUCUGCUUGCCAUUCUCUCCUGCAUCUCCUUGAGCUCAGCAUCAAGUGCAAUACAGAGCCGGUCUUGAGAUUUAGCCGACACUGACUCAGCUAACAACUUUCGGCAGCUUUCUAGGAUGGAACUUGCACCAACCAGGUCUCCUUUCUCAGCAGCUGCUCGCGCCUGAGCCAUUGCUUCAGCUGCUCGGAGUCUGUUCUGCUGCCUGUCCAACAACUUUCGGCAGUUUUCUAGGAUGGAACUUGCACCAACCAGGUCUCCUUUCUCAGCAGCUGCUCGCGCCUGAGCCAUUGCUCCAGCUGCUCGGAGUCUGUUAUACUGCCUGUCCACUUCGAUUGAAACACGCUCUUGUACAACCUUUUCAGGUCUCUUUAUUUUAAGUUCUUCAGUUCUGA
rnacentral:lncRNA from 1 species